rnacentral:rRNA from 1 species
AUACGAAGGGGGCUAGCGUUGCUCGGAAUUACUGGGCGUAAAGGGAGCGUAGGCGGUACUGUUUAGUCAGAGGUGAAAGCCCAGGGCUCAACCUUGGAGUUGCCUUUGAUACUGGCAGUCUUGAGUAUGGGAGAGGUGAGUGGAACUCCGAGUGUAGAGGUGAAAUUCGUAGAUAUUCGGAAGAACACCAGUGGCGAAGGCGACUCACUGGCCCAUUACUGACGCUGAGGCUCGAAAGCGUGGGGAGC